AUGCAAUGUUGUGUUUGGGGGUGCAAGGCCCAAUAUCGGAAAGGAGGAGGGUUAGGGUUUUUCCGAUUCCCUACUGAAGAGAACGAAAUUGCUCAAAGUCAAAGGAAAACUUGGAUAAAAAUGGUGAAGAUUGAAAACCCCGAACCAGAUCUGCCUUCCCGUUUGGGUGGUAAAUUGGUACUCCAAAUGGGAAACGACUGGCACCCUACUACCUCCUCUCGCAUUUGUGGGAGGCACUUUGUUUUAAAAAAACCAAACCUACAUCCGGACCACCCUGACUUUGCCCCAUCCCUCUUCCUUCGCCCAGAGGACGAUGCCUUGAGUCCGAACACAGCUCAGACAGAAGGGAAAAGAAACCUGCAGAGCUAUGACAGGGCAGUGAAGAAGAAGAAGUGCCUUGACCUUAGUGAGGUUGGAGGUGCUGACCUGAGGGACAGUUAUGCUGACACCACAGAAGAAACUGAAGAGCAGGACCUGGGCACCUGUGUAUCGUGUGAGGUCCUGAGGAAGUCCUUAAAUUAUUUGCAGUCCAGGCAUGAUGCUCUGCAAGUCGAAGCUGUCAAUCUCAGGGCGGAGAGAGACUUUUACAAAUAUAACACAUCUCAAUCCUCUCUCUUUGUUGACACCUUUACAGACAGAGACAAUCAAAUGCAUACAGUGAGAGAAGUGCCAAGCAUGGCUAAACCAAAUGGUAUGAACCAACAAUGUACUGGGAUGGUUGAGGAGCCCUGUCUUAUGGAGGUUGAGGGGUUAUGUUCUGUGAAGGUUGAGGAGCUUUGUCCUGUGAAGGUUGAGGGGGACUAUGAUCAAGUGUUGAUUAAGGAAGAGGAACAACAGGUCCAAAUAGAACUUUGUAGCCCCUUGGCUAGUCAGGACAAAGUGACCCAUGUCUCCCAGGAUAAACCUACCCAGCAUAGCAACAUUAUGAAGGCCACCAGGCGACCAUGUCUGUUAGCUCAGCAUAAACCCAUCCAGAUAGUCAACACAAUGUCACUCACCGGGGUGGUAGCCCCCAGGCCCCCAAGUCAGGUAACCAAGGAUAAACCUAUCCAGCUUGCCAAAACCAACGACCAAUGUUCUGUGAAGGUUGAGGAGUCAUGUUUUGUGAAGGUUGAGGUGGACUAUGAUCAAAUGUCGAUUAAGGAAGCAGAGCAACAGGUCCAAAUAGAAAUCUGUAGCCCCUUGGCUAGUCAAGACAAAGUGACCAAUGUCUCUCGCAGGUUGCCAAUUCAUGUCCCCAAGGAUAAAACUAUCCAGCUUGCCAAAGCCGUGGUAGAAAGCCACCUAAUGACGAACCAUCUGCCUGGCAGCCAAACCACUGCUGAGCCUUUACAGAAGACUCCUCUGUCAGCUCAAAGGACACCUGUUGCAGGCAAACAAAUUCAGAGAAGCAUAACACACACAGAGAGGGAUGAGUUGCUUUGGCUGGGCUACAUGAAGUGGAAUGUGCGUCUUCCUGCAAGCACAAUUAGAACCGCACACAAGUUUCAGACGCCUAGGGCAACAGUGCAAUACCUUCUACACGCGGUCUUCUCCCAAUGUGAACUCGCCACCAGCAAUCUCAAGGGCAUUCCUGCACUGGGCCUUAACAAACUGGACCCGGACAAACUUUCUGCCAUAAGACAGUUUGUCACCACCAAGUUUCGUCGUUUAGACAUGCGUCAAUGUGGUAAAGACUGGGUCAAGUGCCGGCGCCAGAUAACCAGCAUGCUCAGGAACAUUCGGAAGGAGGACAGGAAGACGAGGGGGCUCUCAGGAAACCUUUGUAUGAUAGAGAAGGUGUUAACGGAUCAGAGUUUACCCCGUCAGCCAUCGCCUCCCUCAUUCCCCUCGAUCUCCCAACAGCACACAGCUGCCUUCUACAACCCAACAGAAGAAGAAGAGAUCCUCUGUCUGGAGAGUUAG
ensembl:lncRNA